UACGAAGGGGGCUAGCGUUGCUCGGAAUCACUGGGCGUAAAGGGCGCGUAGGCGGCUUGGCAAGUGGAAGGUGAAAUCCCGGGGCUCAACCCCGGAACUGCCCUUGAAACUGCAGUGCUAGAAUUCUGGAGAGGCGAGUGGAAUUCCGAGUGUAGAGGUGAAAUUCGUAGAUAUUCGGAAGAACACCAGUGGCGAAGGCGGCCUUCUGGACCAGUACUGACGCUCAUGCACGAAAGCGUGGGGAGCAAACAGG
rnacentral:rRNA from 1 species